GACGAACGCUGGCGGCGUGCCUAAUACAUGCAAGUAGAACGCUGAAGAGAGGAGCUUGCUCUUCUUGGAUGAGUUGCGAACGGGUGAGUAACGCGUAGGUAACCUGCCUUGUAGCGGGGGAUAACUAUUGGAAACGAUAGCUAAUACCGCAUAACAAUGGAUGACACAUGUCAUUUAUUUGAAAGGGGCAAUUGCUCCACUGCAAGAUGGACCUGCGUUGUAUUAGCUAGUAGGUGAGGUAAUGGCUCACCUAGGCGACGAUACAUAGCCGACCUGAGAGGGUGAUCGGCCACACUGGGACUGAGACACGGCCCAGACUCCUACGGGAGGCAGCAGUAGGGAAUCUUCGGCAAUGGGGGCAACCCUGACCGAGCAACGCCGCGUGAGUGAAGAAGGUUUUCGGAUCGUAAAGCUCUGUUGUAAGUCAAGAACGGGUGUGAGAGUGGAAAGUUCACACUGUGACGGUAGCUUACCAGAAAGGGACGGCUAACUACGUG
rnacentral:rRNA from 1 species